AUCCGGAGGCAACAUGAAGAGAUGCCUUAUUCUUUGUUCUCUCAUAAUUACUACCCUAAUUCUCACAUGGAGCACCCUUGCGGCAGGUAGAGGAGGACAAGUAUUGAGAUGGGCAACGGUGGAGCAUAUUUCUAUUGGAAACCCACCACCGCCUCCAAGGGCCAUUCCACGUCCACCGCCACCACCUCCAGCAGCGCCAUCAGGGUCGAAUCCUUGAUGCACAUUCCUGCGUUUCCAUGUUAUUGCAAGUGUUAUUCCCAAUAUUAUGUGAAGAGUUCGAUAAUUUGUCAAUGGGAAUAUUGAGUUGUAUUUCCACUUCGAAAAAUUUUAUACAUAUGAAUAAGAGGGACAUAAAUACCAUUUUUUAAAAUUAAGGUAAUGAAAUAUUAUUAAUAUGGAUAAUUUCCAUUAUGGAAUUA